rnacentral:rRNA from 1 species
GACGAACGCUGGCGGCGUGCCUAAUACAUGCAAGUCGAACGCUGAAGAGAGGAGCUUGCUCUUCUUGGAUGAGUUGCAAACGUGUGAGUCACGCGUGUGUCACCUGCCUUGUAUCGGGGGAUCACUAUUAGACACGAUAGAUAAUUCCGCAUAACAAUGGAUGACACGGGUGGUUUAUUUGAAAUGGGCCAUUGCUCCACUACAAGAUGGACCUGCGUUGUAUUAGCUUGGAGGUGAGGUAAUGGCUCACCUAGGCGGGGAUACCUAGCCGACCUGAGAGGGUGAUCGGCCAGACUGAGAGUGAGACACGCCCCAGACUGACACGGGAGGGAGCAGUAGGGAAUCUGCGGCAAGGGGGGCAAAACAGACCGCGCAACGCCGCGGGAGUGAAGAAGGUUGUCGGAUGGUAAAGCUCUGUUGUAAGGUAAGAACGGGUGUGAGCGUGGAAAGUUCCCACUGUGACGGUAGCGGACCAGAAAGGGACGGCUAACUACGUG